rnacentral:tRNA from 1 species
GGCGGGAUUCCCGAGCGGUCAAAGGGGUGUGGCUGUAAACCACAUGGCACUGCCUUCCCAGGUUCGAAUCCUGGUCCCGCCA